CCUACGGGAGGCAGCAGUGGGGAAUAUUGGGCAAUGGAGGAAACUCUGACCCAGCGACGCCGCGUGCGGGAUGAAGGCCUUCGGGUUGUAAACCGCUUUCAGUAGGGAAGAAGCGAAAGUGACGGUACCUACAGAAGAAGCACCGGCUAACUAUGUGCCAGCAGCCGCGGUAAUACAUAGGGUGCAAGCGUUGCCCGGAAUUAUUGGGCGUAAAGAGCUCGUAGGUGGUUCGUCACGUCGGAUGUGAAAAUCUGGGGCUCAACCCCAGACCUGCAUUCGAUACGGGCGAUCUAGAGUGUGGUAGGGGAGACUGGAAUUCCUGGUGUAGCGGUGGAAUGCGCAGAUAUCAGGAGGAACACCAAUGGCGAAGGCAGGUCUCUGGGCCAUUACUGACACUGAGGAGCGAAAGCGUGGGGAGCGAACAGGAUUAGAUACCCUGGUAGUCCACGCCGUAAACGGUGGGCACUAGUUGUGGGAACCUUCCACGGUUUCUGCGACGCAGCUAACGCAUUAAGUGCCCCGCCUGGGGAGUACGGAUCGCAAGAUUAAAACUUAAGGAAUUGACGNUGAGAGNGCGAGACGACGACGAGGAGAGG
rnacentral:rRNA from 1 species